rnacentral:misc_RNA from 1 species
AACGCGUAUUGCGCUCGACUCCUCGGAGAAGAGCAUGUCUGCCUCAGCGUCGGUUUACACCCUCACCCCUCUUCCUCAACAGGAAGCUUGUCGUGCUUGCUCAAGCCGGCAUCAGGGGUGGAUCUGGCCCUCCCAGUCGGACUCACCUCCGAUUGGGUUGGCUGAAGCACAGAGGCUUAAACUGGGACCCGAUUCGGGCUCAACUGGAUAGGUAGCAACACCCUCGGGUGCCUACACGAAGUUGUGUCUGAGGACCUGGUUAGGAGCCAAGCAGGAAACGUGUCUCUGACGCGUAUCUCUGUAUUCGACCUGAGCUCAGGCAAGGCUACCCGCUGAACUUAA